rnacentral:rRNA from 1 species
GGGCCCGCACAAGCGGUGGAGUAUGUGGUUUAAUUCGAUGCAACGCGAAGAACCUUACCAGGGUUUGACAUCCUGCGAAUCUCUUGGAAACAGGAGAGUGCCUUCGGGAACGCAGUGACAGGUGGUGCAUGGCUGUCGUCAGCUCGUGUCGUGAGAUGUUGGGUUAAGUCCCGCAACGAGCGCAACCCACGUCUUUAGUUGCCAGCAUUAGUUGGGCACUCUAGAGAGACUGCCGGUGAUAAACCGGAGAAGGUGUGGAUGACGUCAAGUCAUCAUGCCCCUUACAUCUGGGCUACACACGUACUACAAUGCUACGGACAAAGGGCAGCCAACUUGCGAGAGUGAGCGAAUCCAAAAGUGCGUCGU